GACUGGGAGAGAGAGAGAGAGAGAGAGGGAAAGGGAGAGAAAAAAAGUAAAAUUUCAUCUCUUACUUUUUUGUCAUUGUCAUCAUUGUACCUUUUUCCUCUUUAAUACACCCUUUCUUGCUCCUUUUUUUUUCUUCGUUUU